AGGAGCCGUAUGAGAUGAAAACCUCAUGUACGGUUUUGGAACGGAGAUUUUUUGAAUAGAAUGAACGAACGUAACGGAUGUUGGCUCAAUCCGAA
rfam:Hordeum vulgare subsp. vulgare, WGS project CAJW01000000 data, contig: morex_contig_1467773